UUUAAGCGUCAUGGCCUAAGCGGAAAGAGAUCGCGAGUGAAAGAAAAUUACUUAAAUGACUCCGAUUUUCCCCUUGAAUUGAUGGAAAAGACUACAAAUGGCAUGGAUAUUGGAUAGAAAGGUGAAUGAGACCGUCUGUUCGAAAAUUGAGCCCGAUAUUUCGAGCGAUGUAGAUUCGAAUUUUUCACUGCGGCUUGAAGACAGUGAAGCAAAAGGAGA